rnacentral:sRNA from 1 species
AAACAGGCCGUCGAGCGCGCCCGGCGGCCAUUCGGCGGCAACUCACCGACCUUCACGGUAGAUCACGCUC